rnacentral:rRNA from 1 species
CCUACGGGAGGCAGCAGUGGGGAAUAUUGCGCAAUGGGGGAAACCCUGACGCAGCAACGCCGCGUGAGUGAAGAAGUAUCUCGGUAUGUAAAGCUCUAUCAGUGGGGAAGAAGGAAGACGGUACCCGACUAAGAAGCCCCGGCUAACUACGUGCCAGCAGCCGCGGUAAUACGUAGGGGGCGAGCGUUAUCCGGAUGUACUGGGUGUAAAGGGAGCGUAGACGGCGGCGCAAGUCUGAAGUGAAAGCCCGUGGCUCAACCGCGGAACCGCUUUGGAGACUGCGAGGCUAGAGUGCUGGAGAGGUAGGCGGAAUGCCUGGUGUAGCGGUGAAAUGCGUAGAGAUCAGGAAGAACACCGAUGGCGAAGGCGGCUUACUGGACAAUGACUGACGUUGAGGCUCGAAAGCGUGGGGAGCGAACAGGAUUAGAUACCCUUGUAGUC